ACCUGACUGCUAUCAGAUUGAUACUAAGCCAUGCGAGUCAUUGUAGCAAUACAAGGCAUACGGCUCAGUAACGCGUAGUCAACCUAACCUAUGGACGGGAAUAACCUCGGGAAACUGAGAAUAAUUCCCGAUAGAACAUUAUACCUGGAAUGGUUUAUGUUCCAAAUGAUUUAUCGCCGUAGGAUGGGACUGCGGCCUAUCAGUUUGUUGGUGAGGUAAUGGCCCACCAAGACUAUUACAGGUACGGGCUCUGAGAGGAGUAGCCCGGAGAUGGGUACUGAGACACGGACCCAGGCCCUAUGGGGCGCAGCAGGCGAGAAAACUUUGCAAUGUGCGAAAGCACGACAAGGUUAAUCCGAGUGAUUUGUGCUAAACGAAUCUUUUGUUAGUCCUAGAAACACUAACGAAUAAGGGGUGGGCAAGUUCUGGUGUCAGCCGCCGCGGUAAAACCAGCACCUCAAGUGGUCAGGAUGAUUAUUGGGCCUAAAGCAUCCGUAGCCGGCUCUGUAAGUUUUCGGUUAAAUCUGUACGCUUAACGUACAGGCUGCCGGGAAUACUGCAAAGCUAGGGAGUGGGAGAGGUAGACGGUACUCGGUAGGAAGUGGUAAAAUGCUUUGAUCUAUCGAUGACCACCUGUGGCGAAGGCGGUCUACCAGAACACGUCCGACGGUGAGGGAUGAAAGCUGGGGGAGCAAACCGGAUUAGAUACCCGGGUAGUCCCAGCUGUAAACUAUGCAAACUCAGUGAUGCAUUGGCUUGUGGCCAAUGCAGUGCUGCAGGGAAGCCGUUAAGUUUGCCGCCUGGGAAGUACGUACGCAAGUAUGAAACUUAAAGGAAUUGGCGGGGGAGCACCACAAGGGGUGAAGCCUGCGGUUC
rnacentral:rRNA from 1 species